GCUACAUUACUUUGGUAUACAAGUUCUCGUACGAUCACCGAAGUUAAGCAACGCCGAGCUUGGUCAGUAUUUAGAUGGGUGACCGGUUGGAAAUAACAGGUGCUGCCAG